UGGGGAAUAUUGCACAAUGGGCGCAAGCCUGAUGCAGCCAUGCCGCGUGUGUGAAGAAGGCCUUCGGGUUGUAAAGCACUUUCAGCGAGGAGGAAGGUGGUGAGCUUAAUACGCUCAUCAAUUGACGUUACUCGCAGAAGAAGCACCGGCUAACUCCGUGCCAGCAGCCGCGGUAAUACGGAGGAUGCAAGCGUUAAUCGGAAUUACUGGGCGUAAAGCGCACGCAGGCGGUUUGUUAAGUCAGAUGUGAAAUCCCCGGGCUCAACCUGGGAACUGCAUUUGAAACUGGCAAGCUAGAGUCUCGUAGAGGGGGGUAGAAUUCCAGGUGUAGCGGUGAAAUGCGUAGAGAUCUGGAGGAAUACCGGUGGCGAAGGCGGCCCCCUGGACGAAGACUGACGCUCAGGUGCGAAAGCGUGGGGCAGCAAACAGGAUUAGAUACCCUGGUAGUCCAGCGCUGUAAACGAUGUCGAUUUUGGAGGUUGUGCCCUUGAGGCGUGGCUUCCGGAGCUAACGCGUUAAAUCGACCGCCUGGGGAGUACGGCCGCAAGGUUAAAACUUAAAUGAAUUGACGGGGUC
rnacentral:rRNA from 1 species